rnacentral:rRNA from 1 species
UUAAAAUGUAAAUAGAAAUUCUAAAUUAGUAUUAGUUAUGUUCUUUAAAGUUAAAGAUUUUGGCGGUAUUUUAGUCUUUUCAGAGGAACUUGUUCUAUAAUCGAUAAUCCACGAUUAAUUUUACUUAUUUUAAUUAAUUUGUAUAUCGUCGUAGUAUGAAUAUUUUAUAAGAAUUUAAAUAUUCUUAAUUUUUUAUAAAAAAAGAAAUCAGAUCAAGGUGCAGUUGAUAAGUAAGUAGUAAUGAGUUACAAUAAUUUUAUUUAUAUGGUAUAAAAUCUGAAAGGGUUUUAUUAAAGUGGAUUUGAAAGUAAUAUAUUUUAUUUAAAAUAUAUGAUUUAAGCUCUAAAAUAUGC